ensembl:lncRNA
CAUAAACCAAGGAGAGCAUGAGCCUUGCCCCGACUAAAAAGAGACCUCUGUGAAAUGUGAUGUGGAGCCCGAAAACACAUCCGAGCCUUUGAUGAUUUUAAUCAGUAGUAAUGCAUUGUCAAAUGAGUUGUGAGGAAACCUUAGGAAUCCCACAAGAAAGACCUGCACUGGUGGUGUGCUCUUCCCUCUUUCCUUUGAGUGAUGGAGUUUACUUGUGGUCCUGCUGCUGCAGUGAAACGGGAUAUCAGGCCGGUGGUGGCUGGUCCCCUACAAGAAGGUGAGGCGCCUGAGGUCCCUCCGCCCCCUCUGGACAUCGAGGGGUCCCAGGCAUACACAGUACGUGCCAUUCUGGACUCGAGACGCCGGGUGAGGGGCCUAUAGUACCUCGUGGACUGUGAAGGGUACAGUCCGGAGGAGAGGUGCUGGGUAGCGGUGGGGGACAUUUUGGACCCCUUCACUCCUGAGGGACUUCCACCGCCUCCACUUGAAUUGAAG